UUACUGAGGGUGCUCUCAAUGCCGUCAUCCAGGUCAUCAAUAAAGAUAUUGAAGAGGACAGGCCUCAGCACCGACCCCUGGGGAACACCACUCGUGACCGGUCGCCAAGAGUUAUAAAGCUGCCACUGGAAAAGUUCUUGAUAGAUGUGGAAUGAAUACAUGUUACAGCUUAUUACUUGUCACUAUACAGUGGGGGUAAUUAGCAUUCUGUGAUAUGAAAACUCAUUUACUGGUUAGAUAAAUUACAGCUGUAAUAGCACAUCAAAAUGUGAUAUAGGAGCAGCUGCGUAACUUGUUUGUUUCUAGAAGAGUUGUGGCGUCUGACUCAAGAGAUGGGCAUGUAAUGAACCUUCAGAAGCGUUGUGUGUAUACCAGAUAUUCAGAGUGCCACCAACAGAAUAUAUAAUGUGAUAACAAACAGGUCAAGUAUAACUAUUUCUUCAAAAACUAAAAACAAUUUUAAGGGAUGAGUUAGAAAAGUUUCCCAAACCUUUUCAACUGUACAAAUAUUUAUCAUAAAGCUACUUGAAAGUUCAAGCAUUGGAAGCUUAUAUUUUGAUAUCUUCAAUUUCUAAUGCAUUUGGAAAGUUUAAAGCUCUGACUUGAAUUUAACUUUGAAGAAUUAUAGCAAUGGUGCACUUUACUCUGAACCUUGCACCUUGCAUGACAAAAUGAGGUUACGUAAAUUUGUCAUUUGCUUUCAGGCCUACCACAGCAUGAAGAAAGUAAGAAAUGUGGCUCAGGAAUAUUUCCUGAUAUUCUUUCUCUGCCUUUUUUUUUUUUUUUUGUGUGCAAUUGAAGAAGCAUGAUAAAAAUUGUCACCUCUAUUUCUGAAAUAAUUCUCACCUCUGUACUGUUUGAAGUGGCAACUGCAUGAAACACAGUUGACCUAGCAAUGAUGUAAAUGCCUGUAGGUAAAGAAGCACACUGUUACUAUACCUAGCAUGUUUUUGUCUGGCGCUGUGUGCCAGGUCUUUACUUGUUGGAUGAAGGAUUUUUUUUUUUGACAGUUAGAAGCGGUUUUGUGGGUAUCAUUCUCUGACCAUCUGCAGCUGCUAACAUUUGAGUCCCCAUAGGAUGGACUGAGAAAACUAUGCACAUAGUUGGUGUGAAGUCUUUGGACAGGGAAGAAAUUCUGUGUAGGGAUUUGAUUGCACAGUCUCUAAUUUUUUUCUCUCUUCUAUAAAAAUUCUUCAUUGUGAAUUGGGAGAGGUCAGUUCCACUGAAGGUUGUGCCAUUCUUUGCUAGAAAACUGACAGAAGCGAGAUAAUUCUAAUGCUGUUUCAACAUAAAAGCUGGUAUUUUAGCCUACUGAAGUUUGAGUUACCAGGGUAAAUAACACCUGGCAUUCACUGUUAGCUUCAGAUCAAAUAUUCUUGCUGAAUGUCCCCGUAAGACUGUGGAGGUUUCCUGUAACUAUAUAUAUAUAUAUUUAUAUGAAAACACCAAAGUGUGGUAAACACUGAAAACAUAAUCCUAAACAAAACAUGUUUAUUGCAAGUAGCAUAUGUAUGUUUGGGUUUUUGGUAAGACUGAUUGACACAAUUGUUUACUGUUACUGCAAUUGAAAUUCCAAUUAGAUUAUUUUGUGAUUGUUCCUUCAAAGCACUUAGCAGACAAAAUCAUUUUAUUUCAACUGUAAAUCUCAAGAUUUACAAUACUAUGUUUUGUGUCAUGUGUUUUUAAUCAUUAGAAUGUUUUCCUCAAACUUAUAUCUCAAAGUGACUGAGAAUCUUAAAAUAGAAAUUUCCAGUUCUGUAAUGGCAGGACUUAAGUAGUCAAUGAAUUGCCAGUAUAUUUAAUACAACACAAAUGUACUAAUGACAUUAAAGGAAGUUCAGUAGAAGCUGUGUAAGUUUUUAUGCAACUUGAAAGCUAAUGGAAGAAAACCUUGUUUUCAGCACUGCCUUUUAAAUUGAAUGUUCAUGUGAACUGUUUUUCUGCAACAGCAGCCCAGCACUAUUAGACCUAGUAGUAUAGAUUUUCUUUGUGAUUAAUAAUAUAAAGAGAAUAUAAAACUGAAUGUUUUGAAAGCAUAAGAAAUGAAUGUGAUUUACUGCUGCAAAUUCAAGCUGUGAUGUCAUCAUUUAGGCCAGCAUACUUGCUGAGAUAGGAUCUAGAGCUUCAUACGUAUUGUGAUUAAAUAUGAAUAUCUUUAUUUUCCUACAGAUAGUUGCAAAAUUGAAGAGGACCUGUUAUUAACCUGCAUGCUGUUACUGUGAACUUUUGAUAGUGAUUCACUCUUGAUCACAAUUUUCUAUCCUAUCCAUUAUUUUUAUCCAAUAUUUUUCUUCCCAGUUUGUUGUAUACUGAGUUUAAAAAGUUUUUCUUUCUGUGGAAUGUAAAUGUUCUACAGUAGAAAAUGUCGCUGACUGUUGCACCAUCCUUACAUACUCAAGGGUACUUCAGUAAGAAGCUUUUUACUUAUGUGUUGUCAGUGUUCAGAUUCACUGAUUCCAUCUCCUUCAAUGUCAGGUUGGCCUUGGCACAAUGGGGAAAGCUUGCCCUAGUAUACAAGGAGACCAGUAGCUGAUAAUUCAUAUGCUAAAACCAGGGAAUUUGUGGAUUUUUUUUUUUGCACUUUUAACAGCCAAAAUGCUAGGGAGAAUGUUUCAUGAUCUUUGCUGUGGUGGCAGAUAGAUACAGUGGUUGCCAUAUAAAUGGCAAAUUGCUUAAAACUUGUUGGCCUUAGAAGCUUUAGGUUGCUAUAAAAGUAUAUGUUUGUAGAGUUUUGCUGUUAAGUGGAAAGAAUCUUGCUAUUGCAAUUCAAUCUGUCUGUAAGCCAAAGAUCUCCUCUUGUAUUUGAUGGAGAUUGUCCUCAGCAGCAAUACCUGGAAUCAUAUGAUAAGUCUCAAGUGCUGCGUAGGUGUCUGGGUCCUGCUGGAAUGCAGAGCUAUUGUUUUGGCAUCUGUGCUCUUGUACUGUCUUUCCUUAGACUCCUGUUUUCAUGAUAGUGUCUCUUCUAAGCACUACAUAAACACUUGAUGAGAAGGUUCUGCCCUGCACAACGUGCAGCCUUGAAGCAUGGGAUUGGUGGAAUGUACUAUGACUUUCAGUUCAUCAAUUUCUUUAUCUGUAAAGUGAAAGAUUAAGUUACUAAUUCCAGGUUACACAGUAGAUCAGGAGUAGCAUAACACACGUGGACUAGAGUUUGGCUUAGCACUGCAAUAGAAAGAAUUUUCACUUUGUUGUUCUUUAUGUCACUAUGGAACUAUCAAUUUUGUUGGAAGAGUCCUCAGUGCUGGGUAGUUUCUGCUAGAAAAUCUAUGAUGUAAUGUUACAUCACCUUUUUAGCUGUGUAAAUAUGCAGAGAUAGAAGUGCCUGCUUUCCUCUAUAUGUAGUCAGGAAACCGAGCUUGUUAAGAGAGGCAGAAAUAAUGUGCUCAUGAAAUAUAUUUUACCUGGCCAACUUAAAAUGCUAUAGCAUAUCUUACCAGCUCUAAGCCAGGAGCUGUUUAAAGGCAGUGUCUCUGCAAUGCCGUCUUUGCAGAAUAACAGAGAAGAGGAGCAUGGUAAUAGCAAAGAGGACUUGGUGUGUAUACAUACAUAUAGGUUAAGUCCUACUCUCAUGCAAAAACAAUAGAAAUCUCUCAAUAAAACAGAACAAACAUCUCUUGUGUUGCACAAAAGAAUAAAAACUUCUUCCAUAUUUGAGGUAUUAACUACUUAUGCAAGUGAGAGGAAAGAAAGCUUCUUUUCCCCUCCUUAUUGAGGCCCUGUUGAUUUGAAAUUUACAUACCCAAGCUGCCCCUCAAAAUUAAUAAAUAUUCCAAUAUUUGCAUUACAGAUGCAUUUUGUAGGAGUAAGCUUGGUAGGAAUAUUUUGGUGGGUUGAAACUUCAGUGACAAAUAGAAGCGAGAAGUUACUAAUACUUUCCUCAUUUCUUUCUCCCAUUUUUAGUAAUGUGGAUGAACUACUGAAUAUAUUCUCUUCCCAAGGAUAAAAGUGUAAGCUUAAAAUCAGGGUCUUUGCAGUAGGAGGGAAUCUCUUAUGUGUACUCUGUAUAAAAGCAAAGAGUGAAUGAUUAGGGUUUCUGAAGUGAUUGCUGCAGCUAUGAUUUUUUUUUUAUAUAGAUUUCAACUGGUCUUUCUACUGGCAGCUUGGUUUUGAAUGAAGACCUUGGUAAAAAGUUUCUCAGGAUAGGAAAGAACUUUGUGAAAUGGUGGAGGCGGGGAGGAAGGCAUUAGGACUUAAGACACCAGUGCUGUUUGGGUAAUCUUACCGAGUGCCUACACUGGCAUGUUUUCUGGUCAGACAAAUAAGCCUUGCUUCUGCCCACUAGAAAUAUGAAGGAGAAAUGGAUGUUGCUUUGUGAGUGACAGUGGAUUCAAAAGUCUAAUUCACAGACUAAAAAUUACUUUAUUGACUUUGAGAUUUAGGCCCUAUUAAUAGCAGUGAUGUUAGAUUGAUUUUUGCACUGCAUGCCCUAUGUCAUACACAAGAGAGAAAGAAUUGGAUCAGAUAAUCAAAACUGUCACUGUUUUUUUUUUUUAAGACAGAUCGCUGUGGAAGUGAUAAUUAGGGUAUCUGCUGUUGUAUUGAAACAAAUAACUUUUUUUCAAAAUUGGGCAUGUCAUCUAAACGGUGAGCAUCUAUCCAUCCCCUUUACAGUGUGAUUAGUAAUGUCAUUUAGAUUUUUUCCUCAGGUGUUGGCAAUGUAAGCUCUUGUUUUGCUUUUGCAUCACCACUGAGGGCUUUUGAAACCUAAUUCUUUUGUGAACAGAAUGCUUUCAUAGGGUUACAGUAUGCAAAAACAAACCCUGAAGGAAAGUAAUAGGCUCUCUACUGUCUUAUACGUUGUGUCAAGCUGACUGCAAACAAACAAGAAGUAACAGUCUAUUUGCUUGGCUGGUCCUGUUCAAUAGUACUUGAUUUUGUUAUUAUUGAAACUUGGGAAACUUUCACAGUAUUGUUAGUGUUUGUAAUAGUAAGUUUAUGAUGUUAUGUUGAAAAGUAAAAUACGCUCUUGGCCCAAAUUGGAACUUAGAUAUUUGAUUAAUUCAUAAUUGAUUGUAGUUUCUUCUCGGAGAUCCUGUCACCAGAUGCAGCUAUGUUGCCGAGCAGUGACACUUGCAUGACUAGUCUGUCGUGUUGUCCCAUGUUGCAGUGAAUAUGAACAGUACUUUCUUCUUGAGACAGGAAGAGAAUACUUCUAUUCAUGGGAACAUCAGGGCAGAUAAAUACAUUGCUUGCAUGGAUGGAGAACACGCAUACUUAGUAGAAUAUCUGUCCAUUUGGAGCAGGAGAAACCUAGAAGCUAGAGUAGAAGCUUGAUGGACUAUGCUGGGAAAGAAUUUUGAAGUGUUCUGUGCAUCAUACUGCAACUAGCACCAUGAGACUUGCUGAGAAAGCAUUUGGUGAUGGAAAAGGCAUAAAAUGAACAGAACAAGCAGGCUGCCAUAUCAACACGGAAAGUGCUCAGAAGAACUGUUCAUGUUGUUGGUUGGAAGCAACACUAAUAAUUAUGUUAACAGGAGUGGCACACGGCUGAUCUGCAUAGUAUUUGCAAACAGGCAGGAGCACCCUCUCCCCCAAGCAAAUGAUUUCUCAUUCCUUGGAUGACUCUGUAAAUACACGUGCAGAUUAGCUGGAGCUUCAGAAGUACUUAAACAGCUUCUAGGAUUUCUUUAACUGCUUGUACUUGGAGGGCCACUCUUUCAAAAUUGGUGACCAGGAUGUUCUUGUGCUGGACUACAAGCAGCAACUUUUUGGGGGUUUUGGAGCUACUCCGGCAUGGCACCUGACAAGUUUUACCUGAGAGCAUCUCAUGCAUGGAACAUGAAGAGCUUAUGGGAGACUAGAGCACAAAGAAAAGCAGAAAUAUUUGCUCUUCUCCAGGUCCCUGUGACUCACAUGAUAAAAAUCUCCUGUGAAUAACUUCAGAGAUUUGUACGUCAACCUGCUCUGCAACACAAAUGUUAUUCAAUUUCACACUUUCUCUCACACUGGAAACAGUUCCAGCAGCAGCAGCACCUUGAGAAGGACAUCAGGAGGAGGUCACAGAGUGAGACUGCCUUGAGGCAACUUACAGCACUGCUGUGAACAUAUGAAAUCCUUCUUCCACUGAAAAGGCAGCUUGCCACUGGAUUUAAUGGAGCCAAGACAUUAGAUUUGUUCAAUGGAGGUAGAUACGGCUUGGACAACCAAUGGUUUAAAAAUCAAUGGGUCCACAGAUCUGCCUGAAAAGUGCAGCAAGACCAGGGCACUUAUAUGGGAUGCUAACAUCAGGAAAAUACAUUUUAGGAAAAAUACGUGACUGAACUGCUAUGGAAAUUUGUUCCUACUCCUGGUAAUACUAAAUCACACUCUAGAACUGUUCAAUGGCCUUAACUGCAUUAAAAGUGACUUCUGUUUUUACGCAAAUUUGAAAAAACAAAACCCUAAUGCAUAAAUCCACCUUCCCACCCCUCUGGCCCUGCUUCUAAUCAUCAUUAUUAUUUACCAUAUGAAGAGGAUAGAAAUAAACCAAACUUAGCAGUGAACAGAUUUUAUAAAGGAAUAUCAGCUCCUAGAAAACUGUCAUAGAUGCCUAUGAACUCAAGAACUCAAGAAACAUCUCUGUUUUAGUUAAGCUGAUAUUCUUGUCCAAACUGAAGUAAAACAUUGCUCCCCUUCAUGUAAUAGAAAUUAGUGCAAGUUUCUAGUGCACCUCUGUGUUGGGAACAUUGCAUGCCUGGUAGCCCGUAGCUGACUUUUCUCAAAGAUUUACGGUAUGACCUUAGAUAAGAAGUAAGCUGUGUAUGUGUGGAAUUUAGUGCUUGUAGUGCUUUUAAUUAACAGCAGGUGUUAUGCUCAAAAAUAGCCUGGGAAAUGAUAUUGUUUUGAGACACUCCUGAGAUUUGUGGGGCACCUAUCUUGUAAACAAGUAUGCUAUAUAAGGAAGGGCUGUUGCCCUAAUAAAUGAAGCUAUUUGAACUCACAUUGAGUCGUGUGCUUCCCACGCGGGCUGACGGGGGCUUGGGGGGCUCAGCGU